rfam:Brachypodium distachyon strain Bd21 chromosome 4, whole genome shotgun sequence.
AAAGUACUCCUUCCGUCCAACAAAAGAUGUUUCAACUUUGACUAAAUUUGAAUGCAUCUAUAUACUAAGUCAUGUCUAGAUACAUUCAAAUUUUGACAAACUUGAGACAUCUUUUGUUGUACGGAGGAAGUAUUUG